rnacentral:rRNA from 1 species
AUUGAACGCUAGCGGGAUGCCUUACACAUGCAAGUCGAACGGAGUGGCGAACGGGUGAGUAAUGUCUCGGAACGUGCCCAGUAGCGGGGGAUAACUACGCGACAGCGUAGCUAAUACCGCAUACUAUUGGAGCGGCCGAUAUCGUAUGAGCUAGUUGGUGGGGCAACGGCUCACCAAGGCGACGAUCCGUAGCUGGUUUGAGAGGGCGACCAGCCACACUGGGACUGAGACACGGCCCAGACUCCUACGGGAGGCAGCAGUGGGGAAUGUUGGGCAAUGGGGGAAACCCUGAUCGAGCCAUCCCGCGUGAGCGAUGAAGGCCUUCGGAUGGUAAAGCUCUGUUGGCAGGGAAGCGGUACCUGAAGAAUAAGCACCGGCUAACUACGUGCCAGCAGCCGCGGUAAUAC